rnacentral:tRNA from 1 species
CGAAAUCGGUAGACGCUACGGACUUUAUAUCCGUCGACUUUCGAGAUCGUGAGGGUUCAAAUCCCUCUAUCCCCA